AGCCUCCCAAAGAGAAACUAUCUUUAGGCCUGCACUGCUCAAUAAAAGUUGUGUGAAGUGUAGUUCAGCACUGUGAUAAGGCAGUGUGCUAAGAUUUCAGUUUUCAAUGUUAAAGUUAUUUCUAACAAUUUGUUACUGUUCUUCUCUUAUGUAGCAUCAAGGAAAGAGUCUUCAGUCUCUUAGCUUGGAUAGAUUACAAGUCAUUCCUUCCCAUGAUUGUGAAUUCACUUUUGACGAGACCUCUUUCUAAGGUCUAGUGCAAUGACUGUGCUGUGCCAAUAACAGGCACUUACAAACUGCUUGUCUCAUUUAUUUUGAUGAUGCUGGUUUCCUAGUCUCUGCUGACGCAAAACCAUUCAACUGGACAGAGAUAAGCAGGGAGCCAUUCAGUCAUGACAUGAGAUCUGACACUAGCUCUCCUUUUGUAGACUGACUAGGCUAUCUCCCUUUCACAGAUGUUCAAAUUCACUAUAAUGAUUAUUUUAAAUAACUAUUACUACAUUCAUUGAGUGCCUACUGUUGGACUUGAUGCCUUAACACAGAGCAGUUCUUAAAUCCUAUGAGGUAGACAAAUGCUAUGCCCAAACUAUGGAUGAGAAAAAACAAGACCCUGGGAAAUGAGGUACUUGCUGAGGUCCUUAAAGCUAAUAAGUGCUGGAACUAGGAUUUGAACUCAGCUCUGUCUGACUCAAGAGUCCUGGCACUUAACAUUCUAUCCAUACUUGAAUUUGUGGAUUAUAGAACACUUUUGUUCUCUCCCCUUGAAUCUGGGGGCAGGCCCAUGCUCACAUAAAUCAUAGACACUGGGCUAGAGGGGCAAAAGCAUCCUAGUUUGCCAAAUGCUUUAGGUGAGGAUACUGAGAAUCAGGAUGAGGAUUUGAUGAUGGAGAUGUCAUGAGGCCUCCAGCAGGAACUGAAGCUCUUGGCUUGUCUUUUGCCCUCUCCUUCUCUAUUGGGAGGUCCUCUCAUUGCUGUUACCAAGCUUGUUUCUGGUCUUAAAUGCCUUCUUUUAAAACUAAACUUUAUAGAGAUGUCAGACUUUUAAAAGACACCCUUGUGUUGCCCUUCACCCUGUUCCUGACAACCUCCACUCUGUGCCUUCCUGCUGGUGAUUUCGGGGUGGAAUAGGGAACACAGGCAUCACCUAUCAUGAGGAAAGGUGACCCUUUUGCUUUCGUCAUGCUCUUUGUCUUUGCUCCUGUUUUGUAAGGACUUAACUCAUGUUGUCUUUCAGCCAAUUGUUUGGCAUAAUUAUAUUUUCUGUUGCAAUUUUAGUUCCCAGAGUUACAGAACAAACAGUCCCAUUAAACAUCAUCUCAAAGGGCUCUGCAGCUCAAUCCCUUCUUUUCCAGAUCUGGACCAAUGUGGAGGCUACUUUUGCCUUUCAGAAAAUGGACCCAGAUUCCAGUCAUUUCUCUAGGAAAUGACUUUCCCCUGGGUUUUAUAACUCAAUUUGCCUUUCUGUAAUUUUCAUCCCAUUAUGUGUUUGCCAAGAUAAAUGAUUCUUUCUUCUCUGUAUUGCAUUGUAUGUGUAAUGACUUUUCUUAUUUAUAAGGCCUCAAACUCAGAAACCUUAGGAUCAGACAGAGGAUGCAAUGAGGGAAGAAGUGUGUGAAUGCACCUUUGUAUUGUGUGAAUGGUGGGGCAAUGGUGACCUGGACAGAACUGUUCUUUUAAAACACUGGAAAGCAAACACAUUCCACCUGCAGCCCACAGUUAGCCCAUGAGCCUUCCAGUUUGCAAUCUCUAUUUUUCUUUCCAUGCCACAGUACCCAAAUUAGGUUACUCUUAUUGCCACAACAGCCCAAGAAUAUCCAGAUUAAUUAUUUCUCAUCACUGUGAGAUUAGAUGUAAUCUAAUUCUUGUUGUAAACAAUUCAAGAAGGGUCCUUUCCACCUUAAACAGACUUGAAGAUAAUAUCUGAGCUGCCCAGGUAAACGGUCAUAUCAGAGGGAAAAAAUAGUUGAUAAAGACUGUCUUCCUGAUUGUAACAUUUCCUGUUUUUCAGCAUCUUUCUGUAUUACCCAGUGCAGAUCAAAGUCAUAAGAAAAUUUUCAACAAGCUGACUGUAUAAAUACUCCAAAUUUAUCUAAAAUCAUUAACCUUGGGGAAGUCACUCAAUCUCUCUGAGACUUCCUUACCUACACACUGGAUAUAACAGUACAGAUCCUACCCAGCUUCUGGGGAUGAAAUGAAAUGCUGCAUGUGAAAACACACUGGAAACUAUAAAAUGCUAAUCAAAGAUGAGGAUGAAAAUAAAAACCAUACUGACUCAACUGCUGGGCAUUGUUUUCAUUUGACCCAUCUUCCCUUCUGUUUCCAAGAGCACAACGUGACACCCGGAGUAACAGUAGCUAUCUUAUGAAUGUGAGAAUGUGGAUCACACUAGAUUGAUGAACUGGAACUGCCCUAUCAGCCCUGCA